GAACGCCUCUAAGUCAGAAUCCAUGCCAGAACGCGGUGAUACCGCCCGCACGUACAGAUGGACAAGAAUAGGCUCCGGCUUAGCGUCUUAGCAGGCGAUUGUUCCGCUGCGCAGGAAGCGCGCAGCGGUAUUUCGCGUAUUGUAAUUUCACCACGAGCGGGGUCAAAUCCUUUGCAGACGACUUAGCUGUGCGAAACGGUCCUGUAAGCAGUAGAGUAGCCUUGUUGUUACGAUCUGCUGAGGGUUAGCCGUUCUUCGCCUCGAUUU
rnacentral:rRNA from 4 species